UACAGAGGGGGCAAGCGUUGUUCGGAAUUACUGGGCGUAAAGGGCUCGUAGGCGGCCAACUAAGUCAGACGUGAAAUCCCUCGGCUUAACCGGGGAACUGCGUCUGAUACUGGAUGGCUUGAAUCCGGGAGAGGGAUGCGGAAUUCCAGGUGUAGCGGUGAAAUGCGUAGAUAUCAGGAGGAACACCGGUGGCGAAGGCGCUCAUCUGGCCCAAUACUGACGCUGAGGCGCGAAAGCUAGGGGAGCAAACGGG
rnacentral:rRNA from 1 species